UGGGGUGUAGCCAAGUGGUAAGGCAGAGGACUUUGACUCCUUCAUCCGUAGGUUCGAUCCCUACCACCUCAG
rnacentral:tRNA from 1 species